rnacentral:rRNA from 1 species
UGCUUAACGGUGCUCACAACACAGCCACACACAAGGCGUGACCAGUGUUGUACGUGAGCCCGGAGCUUGCGCCUGCACCAAGAAUUAACCGAGAAACCAGGAUCAGCUCUGUCAUAAGCCGGGCGACGCUUGCGCGCCACACCAGGCCGGCGGGUUUGCCGUAGCUCCCCCGCCACAGUCUUGCUUUCACUUCGCCUUCGGGUUUUGUGAGACCCUUAGACUUGCACACAUGCUAUACUCCUUGGCCCGUGUUUCGAGACGUGACCGAUGGUGCUGGACUUAUCACCACUCAGACCAACGCCCGGCUGAGAGACCUUGCAUAAUGCAGCUGGGUUCACACCGCCUGGGAUAGACGCUUCCGGCACAGUGGAAGCGACUGGACGUCGGUCUGGCCAGAAAGCAGCUCGUCGCAAAGAGGAUCAUACCAGGUUUAUCUCGGUCGCCGCCCGACCCAGGACUAGACACGCGUGUAUGAGUGCAGACGGGCAAUACAACUUCAACAACGCAUCGUUGCCAUCGUCCUGGAUUCGCGAUCGGCAGUUUGAGCCUGUGGGUGACCUCACAACGUGCUGUGGUGGGCGUAACCACAAUAGAUCAAGAGCUCUGAACGUCCAUUCAAAAGGGGAGUGCCGGAGACCCUUAGGCCGAAGCCUAAGCCCUCCGAACCCAACCCCCCGCACGACAGCUGGUCGGCAUACUCAAAUGCUUCGCCUGACGAGCGAGACUCAAGAUCUUAGAACACCACAAGUGAUGAACUCAAGCAGUGGAAGCCUUCCAAACUCCAUUGGCUUAUACUCUGAGCGGUUUCACGGUCUUU